rnacentral:rRNA from 1 species
CCUACGGGCGGCAGCAGUGGGGAAUAUUGGGCAAUGGGCGCAAGCCUGACCCAGCAAUGCCGCGUGAAGGAAGAAGGCUUUCGGGUUGUAAACUUCUUUGACAGGGGAAGAGCAGAAGACGGUACCCUGAAAACAAGCCACGGCUAACUACGUGCCAGCAGCCGCGGUAAUACGUAGGUGGCAAGCGUUGUCCGGAUUUACUGGGUGUAAAGGGCGUGUAGCCGGGCUGGAGUGCAGGAGAGGUAAGCGGAAUUCCUGGUGUAGCGGUGAAAUGCGUAGAUAUUAGGAGGAACACCAGUGGCGAAGGCGGCUUACUGGACUGUAACUGACGUUGAGGCUCGAAAGCGUGGGGAGCAAACAGGAUUAGAUACCCCAGUAGUC